CUAACCACUUCCUCAAGUUUUCUGACCAUGAAGCCCUUUGCUCUCACACUUUAAUAAACCACCGAUAUUCUCUAACAAGUGACAACACAAAUCCACAAAUCUAAUUGUUAGAGAGCUUUCAAGUAAGACUGGAGCUUUCUGGACAGGAAAUUUUUAUAAUUCUAUUUUUUUCAGGCUCUUGUGAAACACAGAUUCACAUUUUCAUAUAUUUCUACACAAAUCUAAGUGCUGUGUGCCCUGUUGGGGGUUCGAUAUCUAGUAAAUUACAUGAGUUAAAUACAGCAAAAAUAGGACUGCAUUAUUUAUAAGGUCUAACGACGCAGUAGACUUUUCAGCAUUUUUUGGACUUAAACCAGGGCUUUACGGCGCUGGUUAACUAUUAGAGAAGGCAAAGGGACUGAACAUUUUAUCUGAAAGUCCUUUUAUCACUUAAGACUCUGUAAAAUUUUUGAUUACUUUAAAAAUUGUGUGUGUGAAUAACGUUAGUUUACUAGAAAAGGGGCUUGCUAGUAUAUAUAAUUUGGUUAAAAAAACAAAAACAAAACAAAACAGCUCCUUACUUGAAUGUGAUUGUUUUGGCAAUAGUAAAAUUCAAUCCCGUCGUUCUAGCGCUGCCUGCCUUCCUGGUUCUCCUAGGUGAGGGCCGCCAUCCUGCGAUAAUUUACUUCGAGAGCUGCGAAGCGCUGGCAAGGGUGCAGUCUGGUGACUAGCACUUUUAAAAACAAAGCCAAACUCCGCUUUUAAAAUAGAGAAGGCACAGACGCAGACCCUGCCUCUGACGACAUCCAAAAGAUUCAUUAUACACAGCCUAUUCAGGCGAAGCUACAACCGCCCCAGGAAAUAUAAACUGUGUCGGCAAAGACAGCAGGGGGGAGAGGAAGUAACUGAUGGGAAGGAAGCUAAUCAUGUGAAGUUUGUCCAACUCCACACGGUCUAAUAAAUUCCCGUUUGUUUCCGCUGGGAGCAGCCAUUAAACGCGCCCUGACACGUGGGCGCAGGAACCUCCCUUCUACCUCUGGUGUUCAGAGAUUUCCUUCUCGACCCACUUGUUUGUAUACAACCACGCCCGGCAGGAUGACCACCAGAUGACCGGCCGCAGCAAUGCCUCCACUCAGUCCCAGUUGGGCAAAGUUUCACUCCACUGCGGCGACGUGAACAAGAAUCACGGCUUCCUUAUCGCUGCUGUGAGGUUCUGCCAUUCAUCUUGUCCUCUUCCUGGGACUGAGUGGAUACUUGUGCCAUUUUUCAAGAUCAAGAAUAUGGAAAAAAUGACUCCUUAGCUCUUCCUAUCCCUGAGAUUCCUCGACUUUGUAAUCUAUCAAUUACACAAUUCUCCAAUGUUUAAUAAUUUUGAGCCUCAAGAAAGACAUACAUUUUGUAACUUCAAAAAUCAUGCUUACAUAAAGCUCAAUGUUUUAAAACCAGCCAAACAAAAAAUAAUAUAGCAGAAGUCUGGGAUGGGUGAGGAGGACAGUCAGAUGGUCAGCUGAAAAUAUAAUAAUUCAGGACCAGAGAGAUGGGCCUGGGAGCAGUUGGCACAGAUGUGGUUGUUGGGGCCCACUGGGGCUUAAGGGAGUAUUAGACCAUAUUUCUCUUUCUCUCUCUGAGUUAAGGACCAAGACAGAAAUAAAUACAAAUACCAAUAGAUGGAGAUCAAUAUAUCUGUUUCAAUAGUAACAAGGCUGGCUUAGAUCUGUUGCCACAGUGGGGUUUCCUAAAGCUCUCUUCAGAUUUAAAAUUACUAAAGUUAUUCCUGUUAUUCCUCAGACCUACAGUUCAGUGUAGUAUAUAGAGAAGAGCAGAAUUUGUGAUUUCCACAGGCAGGCUGGUACAAAAAGAGAGAGGACAGGCCACAUGGGAACCAUGGACUUUAACAUUUCAACCUCUCCCCUAUAAGGGACUAUGUAAAAAUAGGAGUCAGAUAAAUUACUUCUCCCAUGGGAGAAAGGAGGGGUUCAUUCAGUAGGGUUCUUUCAAUACUAUUCUUUCUUGGGAAUGGAAGUUCUUUAUCCUGAAACAUGAAGACAGGAGCAUAACAUUUCCUCUAAUAGAACUGUAAUCAUUGAUGUGAAUAUCUGGGAAACCAAGAAUAGAAGAGGACAAAAUAAAGAGUCUGGAGAAGUCUCCAAAAUACACUAAUACAAAACAUUGACAGAACAAAUGUGGUCAAAGAAGCAGGUGGAGAACCAGAAAGGAAAACAAAAACAAACAAACAAACAAACAAAAAACAAUGUUCAAGAAAUGAAGGGAAGAAAGAAUUGAAGGAAUGGAGGGAGUAGAUGGUGGAAAGUGUGAGUUUCUAUGGAAAACAGAUGGUAAAGGAUUAAGAAGCUUAUGAGUUUAAAAUCUUUAAAUUUUAAAAAGAGCUGUAUUGAUGUAUACUUGACAUAUAAUAAACUGCACAUGUUAAUAGCACAAGUUUUAGCCUUGAGCAGGAGUAGGGACAAUUCUUCCUCUGACACAGAAAUGGAGGAAAUGAGGGCUAGUUCUAUAAACAAGUAAGUUGAAAGUCAAAAGGAGCAAUAUUAGAAGAUUUGAGACUUGAUGGUUUCUUUCCUAGUGAAAAGGUUGAAUCAUCAGAUUGAAAUGAGAAGCAUUAAGUGUGGGAUUAGAGGGGCUAAGGAUAUGUGGUAGAGACUUUUUGAGGCUUAACCCAAAUACGUUAUCUUCUUCAUCCCUUGUAAGAGCCUUGAUUUUGUUUAGGUUGGCA
rnacentral:lncRNA from 10 species